CGCGUGGGACGUACCUUUCGGUAAGGAAUAGCCUCUGGAAACGGAGAGUAAUACCUUAUACGCCCUUUGGGGGAAAGAUUUAUCGCCGAGGGAUCGGCCCGCGUUAGAUUAGAUAGUUGGUGGGGUAACGGCCUACCAAGUCUACGAUCUAUAGCUGGUUUUAGAGGAUGAUCAGCAACACUGGGACUGAGACACGGCCCAGACUCCUACGGGAGGCAGCAGUGGGGAAUCUUGGACAAUGGGCGCAAGCCUGAUCCAGCCAUGCCGCGUGAGUGAUGAAGGCCUUAGGGUCGUAAAGCUCUUUCGCCAGGGAUGAUAAUGACAGUACCUGGUAAAGAAACCCCGGCUAACUCCGUGCCAGCAGCCGCGGUAAUACGGAGGGGGUUAGCGUUGUUCGGAAUUACUGGGCGUAAAGCGCGCGUAGGCGGGCUAUUAAGUUAGAGGUGAAAUCCCGGGGCUCAACCCCGGAACUGCCUUUAAUACUGGUAGCCUAGAGUUCGAGAGAGGUGAGUGGAAUUCCGAGUGUAGAGGUGAAAUUCGUAGAUAUUCGGAGGAACACCAGUGGCGAAGGCGGCUCACUGGCUCGAUACUGACGCUGAGGUGCGAAAGUGUGGGGGANCAAACAGGAUUA
rnacentral:rRNA from 1 species